UAGGGAAUCUUCGGCAAUGGGGGCAACCCUGACCGAGCAACGCCGCGUGAGUGAAGAAGGUUUUCGGAUCGUAAAGCUCUGUUGUAAGUCAAGAACGGGUGUGAGAGUGGAAAGUUCACACUGUGACGGUAGCUUACCAGAAAGGGACGGCUAACUACGUGCCAGCAGCCGCGGUAAUACGUAGGUCCCGAGCGUUGUCCGGAUUUAUUG
rnacentral:rRNA from 1 species